UAAGCCUAUGCAUGGAACUGUCUUGCAUUUCAGUUCCCCGGGGAUAUCACUUAGGGAGCCUUGGCUCCACAGAUCAGAACGGUCCAUGCCCAGCUUCAGGAAACCGGCACAUCUAGUCGUUCAUCUGCCACCUGCUGAGGACAGGUUUAGGCAGGGGGAUCCCCCUCUUCAGCAGAGUAGUAUGUCUGACUGAUUUACUACAGCUUUACUCAGAUCAGUGCACUGUAUGAAGUGAGGACAAGCCAGGCUUUGCUGACCCCUCACAUCACUGAACAACCUGUAGUUUUUGUCACCAAGACUGUGAUGGAAUCAGGAACCCACUUCAACUCUGACAUCCUGUACACCAGGGAAGCAGCAAGCAGUGUUGUUGCCCAGCUUUGCAGGUCCCUUACCUUCCCAGUUGAACAUGUAGCCAUGUGGCAGGUCCCUUCUAGCACCACAGCCUCCAUGUGGAUCCCAGUAACAGAAGGUCCUGGAGUAUCUAGCUGGUGACCCACGAAGCACUGACAUGUUCCAGGCAGUGUGGCUGCUCUCUCAAUUCUAAGUGGGGAACAAACGUGGCCUACCUGCAGAGAUGCUCAAUGUGGUCUGCACUUCUCCAGCAAAAACCUCAUUCUUUCCUGGUUUUCUUUAUAUUUUAAACGAAUGAGGAGUUUGAUGUGGAGAUGAGGAACAGAAAGAAUGGGGCAGAAGGAUGAGGGCCUUUUCAAAUAGUAAAGCUUACUAAAAUGAGCUCUGUAAUAAGAAUUUUGCAAGGGAUGUAAGAAACGGAAGGUACACCGUGGGUUGUAUGCUUUCACUGGAGCAGUCUGAAGCUUUUCUGAAGAUGUUAAAAAUACCAAGUUACUGAUUCUGUGGCAGUACCUGUAGUGCCUAUAGCACUGCUCAGGUCUCAGUCCUUCAUUGCAUUGUGAAGGCACGUGAAACUCAACCGAAAAGGAGGACAACCUUUAUUUGCACACAGUGUUUUGAGCCCCACACCGGGGUACGGUGGGGCUGUGGCCCUGGGGCACCCAGUGUUUGCUCCCCUGGCUCUCCCUUGGGAUGCCAUUUUCUUAUAGGCUGCUUUGAAGUGCUGUGUGUGCCUUCACACCUUGUCACUUUUAACAAUGGAGCCUUGGGUGAACCGGCGCUGCUGUGCGGAGUGCAAAAGGCGGGAUGCGCUGUCCUUGUGCUGCUUUGCACCCUUUUCCCGCCCUUGUCUCCCAUCUCCAAGACGGCCCUCCCGCCCUGAACCGCCCAGCACCGCCGCUGAGGAGGGCCGCUCUUUCCGCUGCCC
ensembl:lncRNA